rnacentral:lncRNA from 1 species
AGUAUGCUCUUUUUCUCUUGCCUCUUUAGCAGCCCUGGGUAAAUAUUGAUUUGCCCCCAGUUUACCUCCUCCCCAACUGGCCAUUUGCAGACUAAGAAACUGCCCUCUGUAGAGACCCGAUUUUUGUGUUACUUUUCUGCCAUUUGUCUCCCUUCCCCCUCCAAGUGGCAUUGUAAAACUCAGAGUGACAAAGAGAGAGGAUAGGAUUCGAGGCCCCAGGAACUGGGGCCUUGAGAACUGUUAUACCUACAGGUCAGACACGGCUGGAGGCCAAGGUCAAGUUGAAAGUUGCAGUCUAGCCAGCCAGAGAACUGCCGGGCAAGCCUGGAGACCCAGGCAACGGCAAAAGGCCCACCGCCUACCUUCCCUCA